CCCUCCCCUAAAUCACUCCAAAAAAAACAAUCCCCAAUUCUACACAAGUGUUUCUACACUAACAAAGCAACAGCUCCUUAACGAAUUCCCAACUUUACACGAGCUCGUCUCUCGAGGUUAAAUGUUAUUACUUGGUAAGAUUCCGGACCUCGCCAAGUGUUUUGAAAACCCGCAACGCUCGCAAAGGUGCAUAGUGAGAAUAAUAAGUGAAGAGACAGACUUGUCCAAAACGCCCACCACGAAGGUGCAUAGUGAGAAGAGUAAGUCAAGAGAUAGACUUGUCCAAAAAGAAACGGAAGAGAAAGCUUGGGGAGACGCUCACGAAGGUGCAUAGUGAGAAGAGUAAGUCAAGAGAUAGACUUGUUCAAAAAGAAACAGAAGAGAAUGCUUGGGGUUACACUCACGAAGGUGCAUAGUGAGAAGAGUAAGUCAAGAGAUAGACUUGUUCAAAAAGAAACAGAAGAGAAUGCUUGGGGUUACACUCACGAAGGUGCAUAGUGAGAAGAGUAAGUCAAGAGACAGACUUGUUCAAAAAGAAACAAAAGAGAAUGCUUGGGGAGAUAGAAGUGUGAGAUAGUUCUCAAGCUAAGAAAGUUGUAAAAGCUAAGAACUAGCAAGUAAUCGUCCAGGAUUCCUCCACCAGGACUUGAAAUCGUCGAGGGAAAAAAAUCGGUUCCGAGGAAUCGUCGAUCCGGACUUGGAAUCGUCGAGAAAAGUUUACCGGGUCCGAGGAUUUGUCGAC
rnacentral:misc_RNA from 1 species